rnacentral:rRNA from 1 species
GACGAACCCUUGAGGCGUGCUUAACACAUGCAAGUCGAACGGAAAGGCCCUGCUUUUGUGGGGUGCUCGAGUGGCGAACGGGUGAGUAACACGUGAGUAACCUGCCCUUGACUUUGGGAUAACUUCAGGAAACUGGGGCUAAUACCGGAUAGGAGCUCCUGCUGCAUGGUGGGGGUUGGAAAGUUUCGGCGGUUGGGGAUGGACUCGCGGCUUAUCAGCUUGUUGGUGGGGUAGUGGCUUACCAAGGCUUUGACGGGUAGCCGGCCUGAGAGGGUGACCGGCCACAUUGGGACUGAGAUACGGCCCAGACUCCUACGGGAGGCAGCAGUGGGGAAUAUUGCACAAUGGGCGGAAGCCUGAUGCAGCAACGCCGCGUGCGGGAUGACGGCCUUCGGGUUGUAAACCGCUUUCGCCUGUGACGAAGCGUGAGUGACGGUAAUGGGUAAAGAAGCACCGGCUAACUACGUGCCAGCAGCCGCGGUGAUACGUAGGGUGCGAGCGUUGUCCGGAUUUAUUGGGCGUAAAGGGCUCGUAGGUGGUUGAUCGCGUCGGAAGUGUAAUCUUGGGGCUUAACCCUGAGCGUGCUUUCGAUACGGGUUGACUUGAGGAAGGUAGGGGAGAAUGGAAUUCCUGGUGGAGCGGUGGAAUGCGCAGAUAUCAGGAGGAACACCAGUGGCGAAGGCGGUUCUCUGGGCCUUUCCUGACGCUGAGGAGCGAAAGCGUGGGGAGCGAACAGGCUUAGAUACCCUGGUAGUCCACGCUGUAAACGGUGGGUACUAGGUGUGGGGUCCAUUCCACGGGUUCCGUGCCGUAGCUAACGCUUUAAGUACCCCGCCUGGGGAGUACGGCCGCAAGGCUAAAACUCAAAGGAAUUGACGGGGCCCCGCACAAGCGGCGGAGCAUGCGGAUUAAUUCGAUGCAACGCGUAGAACCUUACCUGGGUUUGACAUGGAUCGGGAGUGCUCAGAGAUGGGUGUGCCUCUUUUGGGGUCGGUUCACAGGUGGUGCAUGGCUGUCGUCAGCUCGUGUCGUGAGAUGUUGGGUUAAGUCCCGCAACGAGCGCAACCCUUGUUCACUGUUGCCAGCACGUUAUGGUGGGGACUCAGUGGGGACCGCCGGGGUCAACUCGGAGGAAGGUGGGGAUGACGUCAAGUCACCAUGCCCCUUAUGUCCAGGGCUUCACGCAUGCUACAAUGGCUGGUACAGAGAGUGGCGAGCCUGUGAGGGUGAGCGAAUCUCGGAAAGCCGGUCUCAGUUCGGAUUGGGGUCUGCAACUCGACCUCAUGAAGUCGGAGUCGCUAGUAAUCGCAGAUCAGCAACGCUGCGGUGAAUACGUUCCCGGGGCU